UACAGAGGGGGCAAGCGUUGUUCGGAAUUACUGGGCGUAAAGGGCGCGUAGGCGGCCCGCUAAGUCGAACGUGAAAUCCCCGGGCUCAACCCGGGAACUGCGUCCGAUACUGGUGGGCUUGAAUCCGGGAGAGGGAUGCGGAAUUCCAGGUGUAGCGGUGAAAUGCGUAGAUAUCUGGAGGAACACCGGUGGCGAAGGCGGCAUCCUGGACCAACACUGACGCUGAGGAGCGAAAGCCAGGGGAGCAAACGGGG
rnacentral:rRNA from 1 species